GAUGAACGCUGGCGGCGUGCCUAAUACAUGCAAGUCGAGCGAACAGACGAGGAGCUUGCUCCUCUGACGUUAGCGGCGGACGGGCGAGUAACACGUGGAUAACCUACCUAUAAGACUGGGAUAACUUCGGGAAACCGGAGCUAAUACCGGAUAAUAUAUUGAACCGCAUGGUUCAAUAGUGAAAGACGGUUUUGCUGUCACUUAUAGAUGGAUCCGCGCCGCAUUAGCUAGUUGGUAAGGUAACGGCUUACCAAGGCAACGAUGCGUAGCCGACCUGAGAGGGGGAUCGGCCACACUGGAACUGAGCCACGGUCCAGACUCCUACGGGAGGCAGCAGUAGGGAAUCUUCCGCAAUGGGCGAAAGCCUGACGGAGCAACGCCGCGUGAGUGAUGAAGGUCUUCGGAUCGUAAAACUCUGUUAUUAGGGAAGAAAAAAUGUGUAAGUAACUAUGCACGUCUUGACGGUACCUAAUCAGAAAGCCACGGCUAACUACGUG
rnacentral:rRNA from 1 species